UAACACCAGCCCCUCGAGUGGUGGGGAAGUUUAUUUGGCCUAAAGCGUCCGUAGCCGGCUAGGUAAGUCCCUCGUUAGAUCCAGCGUCCCAAGCGCUGGGCCGCGAGGGAGACUGUCUAGCUAGAGGGUGGGUGAGGUUAGCGGUUUUCCUGGGGUAGGGGCGAAAUCCUUUGAUCCCAGGAGGACCACCAGUGGCGAAGGCUGCUGACCAGAACACGCCUGACGGUCAGGGACGAAAGCUGGGGGAGCGAAUCGGAUUAGAUACCCGAGUAGUCCCAGCCGUAAACGAUGCAGGCUAGGUGUUGGAGCGGCCACGCGCCGCUUCAGUGCCACAGGGAAGCCAUUAAGCCUGCCGCCUGGGGAGUACGGCCGCAAGGCUG
rnacentral:rRNA from 1 species